UUCUAUCUAUUUCUUCUUCUCAGUCUCUUUCUCCCUUUCUUCUCUCUUAUUUUCACUUCUUCUCUUUCUUUAAUUCGCUGUUGUCCAAAUCUUCCUCUGCGUGGCUUCCCAGGCCUAUUACUCUCCAUUGGUCACGGUGAUAACAAUAAAUAGGAGAAACUAAGAGCAAAAAAAAUUUCUAUUUACUUCAGGUUACUCAAUAUUUUUUUUCUUUUUUUUAGGUAGAUUGAAAGGCAACAAUUGUCCGUCUCAUAUUUUAUGAGGCAAAGGCAAAGGAAUUUUUUUGUGCUUCUUCUCUAUCGCAUUCUCUUUCCUUAUGGGUUUUGUCAAAGAAAAGAUGAAAGGUAAAAGGAAAAGAGGAAAGGGGGAAAUUUCUUCUGGAAUUUUGCAUUUCUAGGUUUAUUGUGUGUAAAAAUAAAUCAGCUGUUAGUAUGUUUUUCUCUUCUCUAGUUUUUUUCUUCCUUUGGUAGUGAAAUAAUGAGCCUAUUAUUGGAACUUUCUCAAGAUUAGAAAAACGUUCUGAUGAA